GGGGAAUUUUGGACAAUGGGCGAAAGCCUGAUCCAGCAAUGCCGCGUGCAGGAUGAAGGCCUUCGGGUUGUAAACUGCUUUUGUACGGAACGAAAAGGCUCUGGCUAAUACCUGGGGCCCAUGACGGUACCGUAAGAUUAACCACCGGCUACCCAGGGUCACACAGCCGCGGUAAUACGUAGGGUGCAAGCGUUAAUCGGAAUUACUGGGCGUAAAGCGUGCGCAGGCGGUUUUGUAAGACAGUGGUGAAAUCCCCGGGCUCAACCUGGGAACUGCCAUUGUGACUGCAAGGCUGGAGUGCGGCAGAGGGGGAUGGAAUUCCGCGUGUAGCAGUGAAAUGCGUAGAUAUGCGGAGGAACACCGAUGGCGAAGGCAAUCCCCUGGGCCUGCACUGACGCUCAUGCACGAAAGCGUGGGGAGCAAACA
rnacentral:rRNA from 1 species